UGCAGUCGAACGGCAGCACAGGAGAGCUUGCUCUCUGGGUGGCGAGUGGCGGACGGGUGAGGAAUACAUCGGAAUCUACUCUGUCGUGGGGGAUAACGUAGGGAAACUUACGCUAAUACCGCAUACGACCUACGGGUGAAAGCAGGGGACCUUCGGGCCUUGCGCGAUUGAAUGAGCCGAUGUCGGAUUAGCUAGUUGGCGGGGUAAAGGCCCACCAAGGCGACGAUCCGUAGCUGGUCUGAGAGGAUGAUCAGCCACACUGGAACUGAGACACGGUCCAGACUCCUACGGGAGGCAGCAGUGGGGAAUAUUGGACAAUGGGCGCAAGCCUGAUCCAGCCAUACCGCGUGGGUGAAGAAGGCCUUCGGGUUGUAAAGCCCUUUUGUUGGGAAAGAAAUCCAGCUGGCUAAUACCCGGUUGGGAUGACGGUACCCAAAGAAUAAGCACCGGCUAACUUCGUGCCAGCAGCCGCGGUAAUACGAAGGGUGCAAGCGUUACUCGGAAUUACUGGGCGUAAAGCGUGCGUAGGUGGUCGUUUAAGUCCGUUGUGAAAGCCCUGGGCUCAACCUGGGAACUGCAGUGGAUACUGGGCGACUAGAAUGUGGUAGAGGGUAGCGGAAUUCCUGGUGUAGCAGUGAAAUGCGUAGAGAUCAGGAGGAACAUCCAUGGCGAAGGCAGCUACCUGGACCAACAUUGACACUGAGGCACGAAAGCGUGGGGAGCAAACAGGAUUAGAUACCCUGGUAGUCCACGCCCUAAACGAUGCGAACUGGAUGUUGGGUGCAAUUUGGCACGCAGUAUCGAAGCUAACGCGUUAAGUUCGCCGCCGGGGGAGUACGGUCGCAAGACUGAAACUCAAAGGAAUUGACGGGGGCCCGCACAAGCGGUGGAGUAGGUGGUUUAAUUCGAUGCAACGCGAAAAACCUUACCUGGCCUUGACAUGUCGAGAACUUUCCAAAGAUGGAUGGGUGCCUUCGGGAACUCGAACACAGGUGCUGCAUGGCUUUCCUCACCUCGGGUCCGGAAAAUUUUGGGUUAAUUCCCCCAACCAAGGGCAACCCUUUGUCCUUAAUUUGCCACCCCGUAAUGGUGGGGAAACUCUAAGGGAAACCCCCCGGUAACAAACCCGGAGAGAAGUGGG
rnacentral:rRNA from 1 species